rnacentral:rRNA from 1 species
CCCCACGACUGGGAGUACGGCCGCAAGGCUAAAACUCAAAGGAAUUGACGGGGCCCGCGACAAGCGGCGAGCAUGCGGAUUAAUUCGAUGCAACGCGAAGAACCUUACCAAGGCUUGACAUGUUCUCGAUCGCCGUAGAGAUACGGUUCCCCUUUGGGGCGGGUUCACAGGUGGUGCAUGGCUGUCGUCAGCUCGUGUCGUGAGAUGUUGGGUUAAGUCCCGCAACGAGCGCAACCCUCGUGUUUAGUUGCCAUCAUUAAGUUGGGCACUCUAAACAGACUGCCGGUGACAAACCGGAGGAAGGUGGGGAUGACGUCAAGUCAGCAUGCCCCUUACGUCCUGGGCUACACACGUACUACAAUGGUAGGGACAGAGGGCAGCCAACCCGCGAGGGCGAGCUAAUCCCGUAAACCCUGCCUCAGUUCAGAUUGCAGGCUGCAACUCGCCUGCAUGAAGGCGGAAUCGCUAGUAAUCGCAGGUCAGCAUACUGCGGUGAAUCCGUUCCCGGGCCUUGUACACACCGGGUCGACGCGGCCG